GUGUGUGUGUGUGUGUGUGUGUGUGUGUGUGUGUGUGAAAAGCAGGUGUCAGGCAAAAGAAGUGUGUGUGCAUUUCUGUUUCAGUGGAUAUGUGACAAAGGCGCCUGACGGACUUUGGGUGUUUUUCAGCUCGAUGAGGUCCAUGGCAGUUCCCUGGGAUUAAAAAGAAAGGAAAUCAUCUUUUCGUGGGGCUAUCAUGGCUGACCAACAAAUGUACCAGCACUUCAUCUCACCUGAGGUCUGCAUGAGGUAGACUCUUGCGGCGUUGGCGGCCCCACCGCAAAGGAACACACCCGUCAACAUUGUGCAAAGCGACGUCAGGGAGGACGCCAUCGCCUCUGCGUCUGUUCCAGCUGUGUAGAUGGUGUCUAUUACUCUUCCCAGAAGAAACGGAGCUGACAUGGUGACAGCACUGGAAAUGGUGAGAAAGCCCCCAGCAGCUGAUAAAAGAGGGAAUAUGCAACAGAGUAUUAAGAGGGGACAUUUGAAAGGAUAAUGAAGAUUAUUACAUUGGUUCAAACGGCUGAUGACAACAUGGAGACUAAACUCGCCUCAUAAAUCUGUGGCAUGUACAAUAUUCAUUUACCAUACCAACGCACUCAUAUGUUACUAUAUGUAAUGUAUUAUAUUUUUUCACAUCCGCUGCUAUAUUACUUUAGAUCAUUGGUUCUCAAAUGGUGGUACGCGUACCCCUGGGGGUACUUGAAGGUAUGCCAAGGGGUAAGUGAGAUUUUAUAAAAAAUAUUCUAAACAUAGCAACAAUUCAAAAAUAUAUUUAUUGAAUAAUACUUCAACAAAAUAUGAAUGUAAGUUCAUAAACUGGGAAAAGAAAUGCAACAAUCAAAUUCAGUGUUGACAGCUAGAUUUUUUGUGGACAUGUUCCAUAAAUAUUGUUGUUAAAGAUUUCUUUUUUGUGAAGAAAUGUUUAAAAUUAAUUUCAUGAAUCCAGAUGGAUCUCUAUUACAAUCCCCAAAGAGGGCACCUUAAGUUGAUGAUUACUUCUAUGUGUAGAAAUCUUUAUUUAUAAUUGAAUCACUUGUUUAUUUUUCAACAAGUUUUUAGUUCUUUUUUAUAUCUUUUUUUCCAAAUAGUUCAAGAAAGACCAAUACAAAUGAGCAAUAUUUUGCACUGUUAUACAAUUUAAUAAAACAGAAACUGAUGACAUAGAGCUGUAUUUUAUUUCUUUAUCUCUUUUUUUCAACCUAAAAUGCUUUGCUCUGAUUAGGGGGUACUUGCUGUUCUGAAUGUCACCAUGCCAUAUAACGUCAAUUAAUACAGGGGUAACUUAAAAGUAUCCCAACUUAAGCGUGUUUUUAGAUAAGACCUGUCUCGAGUCUCGGCUAAUUGUUGCAAGCAAAAAUUGUACUUACAAGCAUCCCAACCAUUAGUUGGCAUAGCAAAUGUCGCAGUAAACCCCUUAAAAUCAGCCCAAAAUAUCUUGUCUUACUUGCUAUCAUUAGCAUAUACACGUGAUGGACAUACUGUAACUUUGUUUUCCAACUAUAGGAAGGAAGGAAGUGAGUAUGAAAGACAGUGCUGAGAAGAAGAAGGAAAUUAUAUUCAUUUAAUUAAAGAAAUAAAUCAUUAAAAACAUGACCAAGUAUGUCAACAAUUUGGCACAGUAAUAUGGGCAUAUCACUGCUAGUCUGCACCAUACUGAAGCAGGAUGAGACUAACGCCAGCCAAGAAUGUUGAAAUAAUAUCUAAACGGCAGACAUUUAUCCAUGGAAAUAUGGAAAAGCUGCUGAUGGUGUAUUUGACAGAGUAUCAAAGGAGAAAUCUUAAAAUAAAUUCUGUACAUUACGUUACUUGUUAAAACUAUUGUAGUGAGUAGUACACAUAUUAUUGCAUUAUGUUCAUACAAUAUUUAUUAUAUACAAGUAGUUUUUCUUUUUACUGCAAAAAUUGGUAAUGUUUAGGGGCCAAGCACCAAUUAAAGGUAAAGUAACAACGAUAGUCACACACACUAGUUGUGGUGAAAUUAUCCUCUUCAUUUGACCCAUCCCCAUGUUCACCCCCUGGGAGGUGAGGGGAGCAGUGAGCAGUAGCGGUGGCUGCGCUCGGGAAUCAUUUUGGUGAUUUAACCCCCAAUUCCAACCCUUGAUGCUGAGUGCCAAGCAGGGAGGCAAUUGGUCCCAUAUGUAUAGUCUUUGGUAUGACUUGGCCAACUCACGACCUACAGUUUUAAGGCGGACACUCUAACCACAAGGACACUGAGCAGGUUUAAUUAUUAAAAAUAUGUCCAACCAUUUCACUGGGAGCUGUUGAUUUUCUUACCUACUUUUUAUGUGUUUUUGGGAUCUGCAUGAAUCACGAAAAUUUUAAAUCAAUC